AUGGAUAGCAAAUUUCAUAAACGAUAUAUGCACAAGGAAACAUGGGAGCAUGGAAAACAGAGAUCGACAUUUGCAGAGAUGGUGAGAUGAUUAAAGCAUAAACUCUGGAGCCCAUAUGCCUGGAUUCCGCAGAUGGGUGAAAUCAUAUGUAUAAAGGCAAAUAUGAAGAGCAGCUAUAAAUGUUCUUUCUUUUGUGAAACUUGGCUUUCAAGAUGGAAAUUUAUUUCAUGUUGGCCAAUUAGAUUGUGAAAAAC